GGCUCUUUGUUUACAUAAAUAUAAAGAGUCGAGCCUGCCCAGUGAAUUUUUAAACGGCCGCGGUACUUUGACCGUGCAAAGGUAGCAUAAUCAUUUGCCUUAUAAUUGAAGGCUAGUAUGAAUGGUUUGACGAGAGCAACACUGUCUCCUUCUUAUUUUCAAGAACUUAACUUUUAGGUGAAGAGGCCUAAGUUUUAUUGAAGGACAAGAAGACCCUAUCGAGCUUAAAAGACAUUAUAGAAGUUUAUAUAUUUUUAAAUAAAUUUUCUAUUAAGCUUUUUAGUUGGGGCGACUAAGGAACAAAAAAAGCUUCUUACUAAUAAUAGACAGUCAUGUUUAGAUCCGAUAAUAAUCGAUCAAAGAAAUUAGUUACCGUAGGGAUAACAGCAUAAUCUCUCUUGAGAGACCUAAUCGAAAGAGGGGGUUGUGACCUCGAUGUUGGACUAGAAUAUCCUAAAGAUGCAGAAGUCUUUGAGAGGUCGGUCUGUUCGACCGUUAAAAUUCU
rnacentral:rRNA from 1 species